rnacentral:rRNA from 1 species
GAGCGAACGCUGGCGGCAGGCUUAACACAUGCAAGUCGAACGGGCGUAGCAAUACGUCAGUGGCAGACGGGUGAGUAACGCGUGGGAACGUGCCUUUUGGUUCGGAACAACUGAGGGAAACUUCAGCUAAUACCGGAUAAGCCCUUACGGGGAAAGAUUUAUCGCCAAAAGAUCGGCCCGCGUCUGAUUAGCUAGUUGGUGAGGUAAU